rnacentral:rRNA from 1 species
AACUUUCUUCAACGGAUCUCUUGGUUCUGGCAUCGAUGAAGAACGCAGCAAAAUGCGAUAAGUAAUGUGAAUUGCAGAAUUCAGUGAAUCAUCGAAUCUUUGAACGCACAUUGCGCCCGCCAGUAUUCUGGCGGGCAUGCCUGUUCGAGCGUCAUUUCA